UACGUAGGUGGCGAGCGUUGUCCGGAAUCAUUGGGCGUAAAGAGCGCGUAGGUGGCUUGUCAGGUCUGAUGUGAAAUCCUGGGGCUCAACUCCAGAACUGCAUCGGAAACCGGCUUGCUAGAGUCUGGGAGAGGAGAGUGGAAUUCCUGGUGUAGCGGUGAAAUGCGUAGAUAUCAGGAGGAACACCGGUAGCGAAGGCGGCUCUCUGGAACAGUACUGACACUGAGGCGCGAAAGCUAGGGGAG
rnacentral:rRNA from 1 species